UGGGGAAUCUUAGACAAUGGGCGAAAGCCUGAUCUAGCGAUGCCGCGUGAGUGAUGAAGGUCUUAGGAUCGUAAAGCUCUUUCGCCAGGGAUGAUAAUGACAGUACCUGGUAAAGAAACCCCGGCUAACUCCGUGCCAGCAGCCGCGGUAAUACGGAGGGGGUUAGCGUUGUUCGGAAUUACUGGGCGUAAAGCGCGCGUAGGCGGACUAUUAAGUCGGGGGUGAAAUCCCGGGGCUCAACCCCGGAACUGCCUCCGAUACUGGUAGUCUAGAGUUCGAGAGAGGUGAGUGGAAUUCCGAGUGUAGAGGUGAAAUUCGUAGAUAUUCGGAGGAACACCAGUGGCGAAGGCGGCUCACUGGCUCGAUACUGACGCUGAGGUGCGAAAGCGUGGGGAGCAAACAGGAUUAGAUACCCCCGUAGUCC
rnacentral:rRNA from 1 species